ensembl:lncRNA
GGAAGCGGCGCGCGCCGGCGCGGGGCGCGCUCGGGGCUGCGGGCGACGCGCGCGGUCGGGCCUCCGCGCGCGACAGGCGCGCGCGCCCCCGUGGGCCCCGGCGAGAGGAGAAUCGUCGGCUGGAGCCGUCACCCCGGGCGGGACCGAGCGCAGGCGAAAACGCGCGGCGGCCCGGCCGAGGGAGGGAGCGAGCGAGCGAGCGAGCGGGCGGGCGAGCCGGAGAGCGGGUAGGAGGCAGCCGCUGGCGCCCGAGGGGCCGAGCGAGUAUCUUGUGGAGAUUGAAUCUGCAAAUCGCUGCUGAGAGAUAAAUGAUUUGAUUUGAUUGUGACAAGCAUGCAAAUUAUUCUCUAUAUAAAACUGUGUCUCCUGGGAAAAAGCUGGACUAAUACCAUACUGAAAUGACCUUAACAGUGGAAUCCUUGAUUAGAUCCACGAUGUUAUGUACAUACUACAGCUCCAUAAAGUUGAUCAACUUCCACCAGGGAUGAACAGAUGUCCUGGCUUUAUCAGAAAUUGCUUUCCCAUUGCCACGCCUUUCACGAAAACCAGUCAUCGCCCUUGUUGUCUGAUUUUGUUGAGACGCUUUUAAAACUGUUUUUCCCUACCCGGAUAUUGGUUUGAAUGCACAGACUUUGCUAUUUACUUAUAAGAUGUAAUGGUAAUCAGAUAUGGUACCCUUCUCCUG